rnacentral:rRNA from 1 species
UAGGGGGACGCAGGAAGGUAGAUGAACCCGGUGAAUGGUAGAACCGGGGUAAGCGUGUAGGAGGAGGACCAGGUAAAUCCGGGCCUCAUAAACUCUGAGACGUGAUACCGAGCCGCUUCAGGCGAAGUCAUUGAUCCUAUGCUGCCUAGAAAAGCCCAGCAGCGAGUUGACAUGGUGCCCGUACCCCAAACCAACACAGGUGGACAGGUAGAGCAUACCAAGGCGAGUGGGAUAACUAUGGUUAAGGAACUCGGCAAAUUGCCUCCGUAACUUCGGGAGAAGGAGGACCCCAGUAGCGUGAUGAGACUUGCUCUCUGAGCGUGAAGGGGUGGCACAAAAUUGAGGGAAGCGACUGUUUACCAAAAACACAGCAGCGUGCUAAGCCGUAAGGCGCUGUAUACGCUGUGACUCCUGCCCGGUGCUGGAAGGUUACGGGGAUGGGUUAGUCCUUCGGGACGAAGCUCUGAACCUAAGCCCCAGUAAACGGCGGCCGUAACUAUAACGGUCCUAAGGUAGCGAAAUUCCUUGUCGGGUAAGUUCCGACCUGCACGAAUGGAGUAACGACUUCCCUACUGUCUCAACCAUAGACCCAGCGAAAUUGAAGUACGAGUAAAGAUGCUCGUUAGCUGCAGAAGGACGGAAAGACCCCGCGGACCUUUACUAUAACUUGAUGUUGUGUUUUGUCAUAUGUUGUGUAGGAUAGGUGGGAGACUUGGAAGCAUGGACGCUAGUCUGUGUGGAGUCAUCGUUGAAAUACCACCCUGCAUAUGGUGAGGCUCUAACCUUGACCCGUUAUCCGGGUUGGGGACAGCGUCAGGCGGGUAGUUUAACUGGGGCGGUUGCCUCCUAAAGAGUAACGGAGGCGCCCAAAGGUUCCCUCAGCCUGGUUGGCAAUCAGGCGUUGAGUGCAAUGGCAAAAGGGAGCUUGACUGCGAGACCUACAAGUCGAGCAGGAGCGAAAGCUGGGCAUAGUGAUCCGGCGGUUGCGUGUGGAAGCGCCGUCGCUCAACGGAUAAAAGGUACCCCGGGGAUAACAGGCUAAUCUUGCCCAAGCGUCCAUAGCGACGGCAAGGUUUGGCACCUCGAUGUCGGCUCAUCGCAUCCUGGGGCUGAAGCAGGUCCCAAGGGUUGGGCUGUUCGCCCAUUAAAGCGGUACGCGAGCUGGGUUCAGAACGUCGUGAGACAGUUCGGUCCCUAUCCUCUGCAGCCGGAGGUGAAUUGAGGAAAGCUGUCCCUAGUACGAG